rnacentral:rRNA from 1 species
UGUGUAGGCGGUUAUUUAAGUUUGGUGUGAAAUCUCCCGGCUCAACCGGGAGGGUGCGCCGAAUACUGAAUGACUUGGAGUGCGGGAGAGGAAAGUGGAAUUCCUGGUGUAGCGGUGAAAUGCGUAGAUAUCAGGAGGAACACCGGUGGUGUAGACGGCUUUCUGGACCGUAACUGACGCUGAGACACGAAAGCGUGGGUAGCAAAC